UUAGGAAUAUUCGUCAAUGGGGGAAACCCUGAACGAGCAAUGCCGCGUGAAGGAAGACGGUCCUCUGGAUUGUAAACUUCUGUUGUUAGGGAAGAACGACCUGUAUAGGAAAUGAUACAGGAGUGACGGUACCUUUCAAGAAAGCUCCGGCUAACUACGUGCCAGCAGCCGCGGUAAUACGUAGGGAGCGAGCGUUAUCCGGAAUUAUUGGGUGUAAAGCGUGUGUAGGCGGGAAAUUAAGUCUAAGGUCUAAGCCCGGAGCUCAACUCCGGUUCGCCUUAGAAACUGAUUUUCUUGAGUGUGGUAGAGGCAAACGGAAUUUCUAGUGUAGCGGUAAAAUGCGUAGAUAUUAGAAGGAACACCAGUGGCGAAGGCGGUUUGCUGGGCCACUACUGACGCUGAGACACGAAAGCGUGGGGAGCAAAUAGG
rnacentral:rRNA from 1 species